AGCUUUGCACAGUGGCAGUAUCAUAGCCAAUGAGGUUUAUCUGAGGCGCGAUUAUUGCUAAUUGAAAACUUUUCCCAGUG
rnacentral:snRNA from 1 species